UCCAUCACUUUGUCCAUCGUAACAAGUUCAAAUACUCCAAACUAAAGUCACAUACAUCCAAACUAACUCCAACAUGUUCAAUAACCACAUUCCACAAAGUUCACAUGUUUAAACAAAAUAAAUCCAUCACCACAUAGUCCACAUACUCCAAACUAACUGCAUCUCAAGCUAAGUCGACCUGACUCACUGUGAAGGCCCCCAAUUGAUACGAGGGACACCUUGGCCGCGUACCGCAGGAGAGCCAUCAUCUGGAGGUGUCGGCGAGAUGAGAUGGCAGGUGUUGGAGAAAUGCCAGGUGCCGCGUUUGAACCCGCUGACGGAGGCUGCACAAAGGACAACAUAGUUUAUUAGACAAGAUGACGGCAAUAACUAGUUUAGGACUUACUUGUGUCAUUGAGUUUCCUCACAGGAGUAUUAAUAGGAGUAGUAAAUACAUGAGAGGGUGGCCGUGGAGCCAGUAACGUAGCUGGAAGGGCUACACCCGUUUGGGCCCCAACCGACUGUAGGAACGCUAUCAUAUCUGCCAUCUGUUGCUGAUGGGCAAGCUGGUCGGCCUCUCGCUGGCGCUCUUGAGCCUCCAACCGCUCAGCCAUCCUUUGCUGCUCGGCCCUUGAUGCUUCGAGCUCAGCCUACAACAUUGGAAAUCAAAUGUUAGAGUAAUGCAAAGGUAACAAAAGCAACGCGAAGUAGAACUAUUGAAAAAUGAUGAACAACCUGGAGUGCGUCGACCCAGUGC
rnacentral:lncRNA from 1 species